CCUCUCUCAGGAUCACACCUGGAGAGUUUCCAGGACUCUACCAGUCUUGGCUAUGGGAAGGAGAGUCAAGCAGAGGCCUACCCAUUCCAUUCCUAGCUUGCGCAGUGGCUAGCAUGUGGAAGACAAUCUGCUACAAGU
rnacentral:snoRNA from 2 species